GAUGAACGCUGGCGGCGUGCCUAAUACAUGCAAGUCGAGCGAACGGACGAGAAGCUUGCUUCUCUGAUGUUAGCGGCGGACGGGUGAGUAACACGUGGAUAACCUACCUAUAAGACUGGGAUAACUUCGGGAAACCGGAGCUAAUACCGGAUAAUAUUUUGAACCGCAUGGUUCAAAAGUGAAAGACGGUCUUGCUGUCACUUAUAGAUGGAUCCGCGCUGCAUUAGCUAGUUGGUAAGGUAACGGCUUACCAAGGCAACGAUGCAUAGCCGACCUGAGAGGGUGAUCGGCCACACUGGAACUGAGACACGGUCCAGACUCCUACGGGAGGCAGCAGUAGGGAAUCUUCCGCAAUGGGCGAAAGCCUGACGGAGCAACGCCGCGUGAGUGAUGAAGGUCUUCGGAUCGUAAAACUCUGUUAUUAGGGAAGAACAGAUGUGUAAGUAACUGUGCACAUCUUGACGGUACCUAAGCAGAAAACCACGGCUAACUACGU
rnacentral:rRNA from 1 species